UACAGAGGUCUCAAGCGUUGUUCGGAUUCAUUGGGCGUAAAGGGUGCGUAGGCGGCGCGGUAAGUCGGGUGUGAAAUCCCGGGGCUUAACCCCGGACGUGCAUUCCAUACUGCGGUGCUUGAGGACUGGAGAGGAGACUGGAAUUUACGGUGUAGCAGUGAAAUGCGUAGAGAUCGUAAGGAAGACCAGUGGCGAAGGCGGGUCUCUGGACAGUUCCUGACACUGAGGCACGAAGGCCAGGGGAGCAAACGGG
rnacentral:rRNA from 1 species